AGCGAACGUUAGCGGCGGGCCUAACACAUGCAAGUCGAACGCGAAAGGUCUUCGGACUGAGUAGAGUGGCGCACGGGUGAGUAACACGUAGGUAAUCUACCCUUUGGCGGGGAUAACGUUCCGAAAGGAGCGCUAAUACCGCAUAAGACCACGGAGUCUCCGGACGCUGUGGGAAAAGGUGGCCUCUUCUUGAAAGCUACCACCGAAGGAUGAGCCUGCGUCCCAUCAGCUAGUUGGUAAGGUAAUGGCUUACCAAGGCGAAGACGGGUAGCUGGUUUGAGAGAAUGAUCAGCCACACUGGCACUGGAACACGGGCCAGACUCCUACGGGAGGCAGCAGUGAGGAAUAUUGGGCAAUGGGCGAAAGCCUGACCCAGCCACGCCGCGUGAGUGAUGAAGGCCCUCGGGUCGUAAAGCUCUGUGGGGAGAGACGAAGAAAGCCUGUGAAGAGCAGGCCUUGACGGUAUCUCCUUAGCAAGCACCGGCUAACUCCGUGCCAGCAG
rnacentral:rRNA from 1 species